GAGUUUGAUCAUGGCUCAGAACGAACGCUGGCGGCAGGCUUAACACAUGCAAGUCGAGCGCCCCGCAAGGGGAGCGGCAGACGGGUGAGUAACACGUGGGAAUCUACCCAUCCCUGCGGAACAACUCCGGGAAACUGGAGCUAAUACCGCAUACGCCCUACGGGGGAAAGAUUUAUCGGGGAUGGAUGAGCCCGCGUUGGAUUAGCUAGUUGGUGGGGUAAAGGCCUACCAAGGCGACGAUCCAUAGCUGGUCUGAGAGGAUGAUCAGCCACAUUGGGACUGAGACACGGCCCAAACUCCUACGGGAGGCAGCAGUGGGGAAUAUUGGACAAUGGGCGCAAGCCUGAUCCAGCCAUGCCGCGUGAGUGAUGAAGGCCUUAGGGUUGUAAAGCUCUUUCACCGAUGAAGAUAAUGACGGUAGUCGGAGAAGAAGCCCCGGCUAACUUCGUGCCAGCAGCCGCGGUAAUACGAAGGGGGCUAGCGUUGUUCGGAAUUACUGGGCGUAAAGCGCACGUAGGCGGAUAUUUAAGUCAGGGGUGAAAUCCCGCAGCUCAACUGCGGGAACUGCCUUUGAUACU
rnacentral:rRNA from 1 species